rnacentral:rRNA from 1 species
UGCAGGGUAGCUAUGUAUGGACGGGAUAACCGCUGAAUGCAUCUAAGCGGGAAACCCACCUCAAAACCAGGUUUCCCUUGAGAGCCGUUCUAGACUAGGACGUCGAUAGGCCAGGUGUGGAAGCGCUGCGAGGCGUGGAGCUUACUGGUACUAAUUGCUCGAUUGGCUUGAUCUUU